rnacentral:misc_RNA from 1 species
CUGUUUGAGUGUCAUGAAAUAUCAAUCCCUCGGGUUUCCGAUCGAUUGGACUUGGGCCUGCCUCUCGGCUUGCCUCAAAUGCGUCAGUGGGUGAUGCCCGCGUCAGACUUAAUAAGUUUCGUCUGACCACGGCGGCAACCCUCUUAGAAACCCCCUUUAUCUCUGACCUCAAAUCAGGUAGGACUACCCGCUGAACUUAA